rnacentral:ncRNA from 1 species
UGAAUAGUUCCCGGGCCUUGUACACACCGCCCGUCACACCACGAGAGUUUGCAACACCCGAAGUCGGUGAGGUAACCCUUACGGGAGCCAGCCGCCGAAGGGUGGGGCAAAUGAUUGGGGUGAAGUCGUAACAAGGUAGCCGUAUCGGAAGGUGCGGCUGGAUCACCUCCUUU